UAUAUAUGAGUCCGGCUGGUAUACUAUCGGUAACACAGAGACAUCCAUGCUACCAAACUAUUUUCAAUGAUGCAGCUUCCAAAUCGACGAUCAGCUCUGUUAGACUUGAUCUACACAAUUGAAAGUAUUUGGAAACCAAAUUCCAUAACUUUUAAAAUCAUUUACCUAUCAUACGGAUAGUCUAAAAAUGAACGACUGAAAAUCCAAAUCUCAUAAAAUAUGAUGAUAAAAGACUUGAAUUUAAAAUCAGGGGUACUGAUCUUAUUUUAAAUUGUAAAAAAAAAAUUUAUAAAAAUUUUAUCAGAUUUAAAUUAUUUUACACUAUUAAAUUCACAAAGGCAUCACAUCGACCAUUGAAAUUGUCAAUUUUUAGACUUUUUAAUCACUAGCCAAAUAAUGUCGAAAAAUUAUGAAAUUUAAUUUCAAACACUUUUAAUAGUGUGUAUCAAGUCUAACAGAGCCGAUCGUCGAUUUGGAAGCUAUAUCAUUAAAAACAACUUGGUAACACGGAGGCCUCCGUGCUACCGAUAGUAUAGCAGCCUAGCACUAUAUAUAUAUAGUUCGGCUACUAUACUCUUAUAAGUACGAUCGCCAUCGUACUCAUAAGUCAUUUUCGAUGAUAGAGCUUCUAAAUCGACAAUCCAUACCGUUAAACAUUAUCUAGAGCAUUUAAAACUUUUAGAAAUCAAAAUUUAUAAUUUUUCGACAUAAUUUACCUUACGAUCAAAAGGUCACAAAAUUAACAAUUUCUAACGACCAGUAUGGGGAUAUUUGCUAGUUUAACGGUGUAAAAUAAUUGGAAUAGGUUGAUUUUUUGAUAGAAAAUUUUAUUCACUACCUAGAUAAAAAUUAAUAAUUUCGAUCUUAAAUUGAAGGAUCUGAUCAUCCAUUUUUAAUUAGGACGUCUUUCAAUUUUAAUUGUUCAUUUUAUGCUCACUUGAUGGACUUUAUUAUGAUUUCAAAAAAUUACGAAAUUUAUUUUUUAGUAGUUUUAAAUACUCUAAAUCAUAUUUAAUGGAGUAGAUCGUCGAUUCGGAAGCUCUAUCAUCGAAAAUAACUUAUGAGUACGAAAGGCUCUAUACUCAUAAAAGUAUAGUAGUCCUACUUUUAUAUAUA
rnacentral:lncRNA from 1 species